rnacentral:rRNA from 1 species
UCGAACGGUGAAGAGGAGCUUGCUCCUUGGAACAGUGGCGGACGGGUGAGUAACACGUGAGCAACCUGGCUCUAAGAGGGGGACAACAGUUGGAAACGACUGCUAAUACCGCAUAACGUAUCGGGAUGGCAUCUUCCUGAUACCAAAGAUUUUAUCGCUUAGAGAUGGGCUCGCGUCUGAUUAGAUAGUUGGCGGGGUAACGGCCCACCAAGUCGACGAUCAGUAGCCGGACUGAGAGGUUGAACGGCCACAUUGGGACUGAGACACGGCCCAGACUCCUACGGGAGGCAGCAGUGGGGGAUAUUGGACAAUGGGGGCAACCCUGAUCCAGCGACGCCGCGUGAGGGAAGAAGGUUUUCGGAUUGUAAACCUCUGUUGACGGAGAAAAAAAUGAUGGUAUCCGUUUAGAAAGCCACGG